ACCGGCGCACGGGUGCGUAACGCGUAUGCAACCUACCUCUUACUGGGGAAUAGCCCGAAGAAAUUCGGAUUAAUACUCCAUAACAUUGCGAGAUGGCAUCAUUUUGCAAUUAAAGCUCCGGCGGUUUUGGAUGAGUAUGCGUUCGAUUAGCUAGUUGGUGAGGUAACGGCUCACCAAGGCGACGACGGGUAGCCGGCCUGAGAGGGCGACCGGCCACACUGGGACUGAGACACGGCCCAGACUCC
rnacentral:rRNA from 1 species